AGAGUUUGAUCAUGGCUCAGAAUCAACGCUGGCGGCGCGCCUAACACAUGCAAGUCGAACGAGAAAGUGGAGCAAUCCAUGAGUAAAGUGGCGUACGGGUGAGUAACACGUGGAUAAUCUGCCCUUUAGUGGGGAAUACCGCUGGGAAACCGGCGACAAUACCGCAUAAGCUCGAGAGAGGAAAGCAGCAAUGCGCUGAAGGAGGAGUCCGCGGCCGAUUAGCUAGUUGGUAGGGUAAUGGCCUACCAAGGCUGUGAUCGGUAGCCGGCCUGAGAGGGCACACGGCCACACUGGCACUGAAACACGGGCCAGACUCCUACGGGAGGCAGCAGUGGGGAAUCUUGCACAAUGGGGGAAACCCUGAUGCAGCGACGCCGCGUGAGCGAUGAAGCCCUUCGGGGUGUAAAGCUCUUUCGGCAGGGAAGAUUAUGACGGUACCUGCAGAAGCAGCUGCGGCUAACUACGUGCCAGCAGCCGCGGUAAUACGUAGGCAGCAAGCGUUGUUCGGAGUUACUGGGCGUAAAGGGUGCGUAGGCGGUCCUAUAAGUAUGGUGUGAAAUCUCCCGGCUUAACUGGGAGGGUGCGCUAUAGACUGUGGGACUAGAGUGUGGGAGAGGAAAGUGGAAUUCCUGGUGUAGCGGUGAAAUGCGUAGAUAUCAGGAGGAACACCGGUGGUGUAAACGGCUUUUCUGGACCAUAACUGACGCUGAGGCACGAAAGCGUGGGUAGCAAACAGGAUUAGAUACCCUAGUAGUCC
rnacentral:rRNA from 1 species